UUUAUCCCUAAACACAGAGAGAAAUCUCCAUCGCUCACACCACCCCGUCUCCAAUUCCAUCUCCAUCGCCUCCACCACAACCUACACUUCCACCUCUGCUGCAAUCUUCAAUUCGAAACAUGUUAGUCGACCUGUAUUUAUUUUAGAGUGAGUUUUCGGCGGAAUAAUUGAGAAAGGAAUGAAUUUUAACUAGAGACUAGACUAGCCGAAGAAUCAAUUUAGAGUCUGAGAUCGAGAGAAAUUCAUUAUUAUCAGUAGUUCAUCUUGAAGGUUAAGGAGAGAUCUCUUCUUACGAAUCAAUUUCUGGUAAUUCAAUUAUUAUUUUUAGAUUCGAUCUACAAAUUUAAACCUAAAUUCAUAACUGGAAAUGAAUGAGACGAAUGUCCGUAAAAUUAAUAAUAUGGUUUGUAGAUUGAUUUGAAUACCAAACGACAUCAAUAUCAAAUAAUAAGUGAAGGCAGUAGUGGUGGUUGUUGUGAUUGUUCUGGUGGUGGUGGUGGAUAUUUGUUUUGCAGUGGAGGUGAUGGUGUGGAUUCGUAGUAGUCAUAGAAGUGGUACCUGAUAGUGGAGUAAUUAAGGAUUCCCACUUGAUAAUAGGCAUAGACUGAUAUAAGUAAGAUGAAAAAUGCUUCCACAUCUUUUUUUGAGCAACGGUCGGUCUUCACACAACAGGAGAUAUUGGUUCUCAUCUGCACAAGGUGUAUAUAGCUGCAUUGAUGUUCCCCUCUAGUCACUGUGGUGUGAACUGAUUCAGGAGUCGCUGGUUGGGGAAUUACUGAUUCUUGACACCACUAUGAAGUGCUCAAACACUAUUCCCAAUAGCAUCAUGGAGCUGAGAAGGAUGGCUAUUGGCUAACCAGUUUAUAUUUAGAUUCUCUUCCAUAUUCUUUCAGUGGUAAAACAGGGUUGUGUUGAGUUGCUGUUAUAGCCAGCUGAACUAGCGGAGCAAUGAUGGAGGUAGUGGAUUAGCAGGUAGAGUUUGUGGUCAUGAAGUUGUUGCAUUAGCAGAUGGAGGAUGUGAUAUUGUCUGGUGGUGGUUCGAAUUGUUGGUUGUGCACUGAAAAGAGAUAUGAAGUGGCAGGUGCUGGUAUGUGAUUUUGAUAUGUUACUUUGUAUUGACGAAUCUGUGGUGCAAUGGUAGCACAACGGACUAUAUGUCAGAAGAUGUGUGUUCGACUCACACUAGGUUCACUUUUUGUGUACAAUUUUUAUUUUUUGGAGACAACUUGUGAUAGUUGCCUCCAUAUAUGAAGACAACUUGCGCUAGUUGCUUUCACUUUUGAAGACAACUUUGUGCUAGUUGCCUUCACUUUUGAAGACAACUUGAGAUAAUUGCCUCAGAUUCGGAGACAACUUGAGUUUGUUGGCUCCAUUUUGUUUUGCAACUUGUUCUUGUACACUAUUUAUUGGAAACAACUUGAGCUAGUUGCCUCCA